rnacentral:rRNA from 1 species
GAUGAAUGCUGGCGGCGUGCCUAAUACAUGCAAGUCGAGCGGUAAGGCCCUUCGGGUACACGAGCGGCGGACGGGCUGAGUAACGCGUGGGAACAUGCCCCAAAGUGAGGGAUAACGCACCGAAAGGUGUGCUAAUACCGCAUAUGGUCUUCGGAUUAAAGGAUUAUCCGCUUUGGGAGUGGCCCGCGUACGAUUAGAUUGUUGGUGAGGUAACGGCUCACCAAGUCGACGAUCGUUAACUGGUCUGAGAGGAUGAUCAGUCAGACUGGAACUGAGACACGGUCCAGACUCCUACGGGAGGCGAGCAGUAAGGAAUCUUCCACAAUGGGCGAAAGACCUGAUGGAGCAACGCCGCGUGCAGGAUGAAGG